rnacentral:lncRNA from 1 species
CUGCGUUUGUGCUUUCGGUUUCUCUUUGCUGCUUGCUGUACAGACCGAUACCACGCUGGCUGGCUAGGUUGCUCUGCUUCUCUGUAUGGGCUAGUUGGAGUUUCCAAACAGCUUGGUGGACUGAGAAUUGUCACACUGUGCACAAGGCAGGGUACAACUCUUGCACAGUUGUAGCCAGAGAACCAACUAAAGGUACCCAUAUUCUACCAUGAGCCUUGGGAAUUGCCCAGCAUUACUUCUUCAGUGUACGCUGGAACAACUGUAAACCUGCCCAAUUUCAAUGGGAAGGAAUGUGGAUUCCAACUCUCAAAGGUAUAGCUCCUUGAUGCAGAGGCCCCAUUUGUCCUUCUAUGUGAGCCCCUGAACUGCUGCCACCUCCAAAUGAAGGACACAGACAUGCAGGAGAGGGAUAUGGCUUCCAAGUUCCCUAGCUCCCAGCCUGCCUGCCUCACUGAAGACAGAUGAAGAAGCAGAUGUAGGCUAGGAGAUCUACACCCAGAUGAUGGUGCUGCUCAUUCUUAAGAUGGGACUUCCCACGUCACCUAACGAAAUCAAGACAGUCUCCCACAGACACGCCCACUGGCCAACCUAAUACAGACAAUCCCUCAUUGAGACUCUUCCCAGGUGAUUGACAGUUAAACCUAACUCACUUUCAUAUCACUCAUUACACAGUAAUGCUGCCUGACUCAACUGUGUCUAACUCAUACACCAGUUGCCACCUGUGUCUGUUUCUUAUCAGAGUCUACAGUGUGGGAGCUCUCUGAGAGAGGAGCAGAGCUAGUAGAAGGAAUGCUCAGAGUUAAUGGGAACUUUGGCACCAAAUUUAAGUAAUCUUAGGUUUUCCUUACCAAGUAGAUGAGGAAUGUUUUUUACCAGAACUUUAUCAUAGUCAUAUAACAAAGUUUCCAUGAUUAAUAUUUGGACUCUAUAUGUAUGUGCUGAAGAAGCAGGAUGAUAGAAGGGAAAUUUCAACACAAUAAAUUCAUUAUUUACUAUACAUUUAAUAAAAAUUAAGGUAGUGCUCUUUGGGAAGAGUAUUAAAUAAAAAAUUUUCCAGGAGUUCCGUCUGGUGUUUUGUGAUAAGGUUUAACUAUGUAGCCCAGGCUGGCCUUGAACUC